rnacentral:rRNA from 1 species
GAUGAACGCUAGCUACAGGCUUAACACAUGCAAGUCGAGGGGAAACGAUAUUGGAAGCUUGCUUCCGAUAGGCGUCGACCGGCGCACGGGUGAGUAACGCGUAUUCAACCUUCCCGUUGCUAGGGGAUAACCUUGCGAAAGUAAGACUAAUACCCUAUGAUGUUCUUCGCAGACAUCUAAAGAGAACGAAAGAUUUAUCGGCAACGGAUGGGGAUGCGUCUGAUUAGGUUGUUGGCGGGGUAACGGCCCACCAAGCCUACGAUCAGUAGGGGUUCUGAGAGGAAGGUCCCCCACAUUGGAACUGAGACACGGUCCAAACUCCUACGGGAGGCAGCAGUGAGGAAUAUUGGUCAAUGGACGGAAGUCUGAACCAGCCAAGUAGCGUGCAGGACGACGGCCCUAUGGGUUGUAAACUGCUUUUAUACGGGGAUAAAGUGAGUCACGUGUGGCUUAUUGCAGGUACCGUAUGAAUAAGGACCGGCUAAUUCCGUG